UACGGGGGGGGCAAGCGUUGUCCGGAAUUAUUGGGCGUAAAGAGCGCGUAGGCGGGAUGGUCAGUCAGAGGUGAAAACCAUGGGCUUAACUUGUGGCCUGCCUUUGAAACUGCCAUUCUUGAGUACGGUAGAGGGAAGCGGAAUUCCUGGUGUAGCGGUGAAAUGCGUAGAUAUCAGGAAGAACACCGGUAGCGAAGGCGGCUUCCUGGACCGUAACUGACGCUGAGGCGCGAAAGCGUGGGGAGCAAACAGGAUUAGAUACCCGCGUA
rnacentral:rRNA from 1 species